AUAUGCUCAAUUUUUUUUAAUCAAAAUCGACCCUCACAGUCACAACCUCAAAAAUUUCUUCCCCCUCGUAUUUCUCCAACCCUCAAUUAAGCUUUGACCGUCUCUAUACGCUGCACCUCCUUACCUCUGCUUCCACCGCUAUCACCUUCUCAGUAAUUAAACCAAUCAACCUUUCCAUCGAUUUUCAUUCGCCAUUAACAACGAAGCUCGAAAUCAAUGGAGGACAUUAUCUCUCCUUCCGAUAAGCAGGUCAUGGUCUCCAAAUUCCUCGAGAUUUCUGUUGGCCAGAGUGCCGAUACGGUCUGCCAAUUCUUGCAGAUUUUGUUGCGAAGUGUAAAAUUGAAUUAGAGUGAUGGCAACUCAGAAAUUGCGAUGCAUUUAUUGGUUUUGAUUCCUAUUCUGAAACCAACUGGAUACACCAGUGCUGAUCCUUAUAAAAUAAAGGAAAAUCUAGAUGGCAGAACAUGAGAAACUUAGACAAAAAACUAUAGAACAAAAUAGAAUCAGGAUGAAGGAUUUAGGGGUUACAUCCAUGGCUUAUGAAAUGAAACAGUCGAUGAAGGGAUCGAAACAAACGAAAAAAA